rnacentral:rRNA from 1 species
UGUGCACUUUUCUCUUAGUAAGACGCCGUGAUCCAUUAGAAAUUGGUAUACGCCAGUAUACAUUAGGUCAUCAAUAGGCCGGCAUGAAGUUUCUCGGAACAAAUGGCAUGAUCUUUUACGGUUGUGUAUAUUGUCUGGGAAGCAUGUAUGACUGUCUGAUGGAUUUUAAGGAUCAUAUUAUUGGUGAUGAGACUAUAUGUGUCUGAUCGACGGCGGUUAAAUUUGGGAUACCUUUUGGACCCGUCUUGAAACACGGACCAAGGAGUCUAUCUAGUAUGCGAGUAAAUGGGUAAUAUGAAACCUAUUUGCAUAAAAAACUUGACUGUUUCAUGUCUCUUCUCCAUCCCGGAGUAUUUUCAUCAACAUGUGCCUCGGUACAUGGAAAAUAUAUCAUGAGCACACUGGAUACGACCCGAAAGAUGGUGAACUAUGCCUGAUCAGGUCGAAGUCAGGGGAAACCCUGAUGGAGGACCGAAGCAGUUCUGACGUGCAA